rnacentral:rRNA from 1 species
UACGUAGGGCGCGAGCGUUAUCCGGAAUUAUUGGGCGUAAAGAGCUCGUAGGCGGUAUGUCACGUCUGCUGUGAAAACUGGAGGCUCAACCUCCAGCCUGCAGUGGGUACGGGCAAACUAGAGUGCGGUAGGGGAGAUUGGAAUUCCUGGUGUAGCGGUGGAAUGCGUAGAGAUCGUAAGGAAGACCAGUGGCGAAGGCGGGUCUCUGGACAGUUCCUGACACUGAUGCACGAAGGCCAGGGGAGCAAACGGG